rnacentral:rRNA from 1 species
UUGCUCGGGGAGUAGAAACCCCCGGCUGAACUUCAAGCCUAUGGGAACCG